UGCCAGCCGCCGCGGUAAUACGGAGGGGGUUAGCGUUGUUCGGAAUUACUGGGCGUAAAGCGUACGUAGGCGGAUCAGAAAGUUGGGGGUGAAAUCCCAGGGCUCAACCCUGGAACUGCCUCCAAAACUAUUGGUCUAGAGUUCGAGAGAGGUAAGUGGAAUUCCGAGUGUAGAGGUGAAAUUCGUAGAUAUUCGGAGGAACACCAGUGGCGAAGGCGGCUUACUGGCUCGAUACUGACGCUGAGGUACGAAAGUGUGGGGAGCAAACAGGAUUAGAUA
rnacentral:rRNA from 1 species